rnacentral:misc_RNA from 1 species
GAUGAAGAACGUAGCGAAAUGCGAUAAGUAAUGUGAAUUGCAGAAUUCAGUGAAUCAUCGAAUCUUUGAACGCACAUUGCGCCCCUUGGUAUUCCGAGGGGCAUGCCUGUUCGAGCGUCAUUAUAACCCCUCAAGCUCAGCUUGGUGUUGGGGCCUGCUGCACUGGCAGCCCUUAAAAUCAGUGGCGGCACCAUCUGGCUCUAAGCGUAGUAAUUCUUCUCGCUAUGGAGUCCUGGUGGAUGCUUGCCAUCAACCCCCAAUUUUUCUAUGGUUGACCUCGGAUCAGGUAGGGAUACCCGCUGAACUUAAGCAUAUCAAUAAGCGGAGGA